UUGAUUCCACAUAGGUUGUUUUCUAAAUUAGAAGUUGUUUUUUAGGGGCAGUUUGUGACGAUCGUCGCUGGAAUGAGGUGAGGACCAAAGCGCAGCGUGGUGAAGGUCUUUUAGGGGAGUAUGCGAGGCACAGACUUUUGCUCCACCUACCCGAGAACUGCUAGGAGCAAACCAAACCUAGUGAGAGAGGUCCAAAGACCUGCAGAGCCUUCUGACCAACUACCUGCAGUCUCUCCAGAGCAGAGAACUCCACUGGUGAGCAUACAAGCAUGCCUACAACCAUCUGUGGAGAUCAGUGAACAAAGGACUGGACAAUGGGCUGCACCAAAAAAAAUGGUUCCACAGAAUAUCAGGAAUCAUGGUAAGACCCAGGUGCAGACUGUGUGAAGCAACAAUGUUUAUUGUAACAACAGGGGCAACGACAAGUCAAGGCAGGCAUGGGUCGAUAAUCCAGAGUGGGAGCAAAGGUACAGGACGGCUGUCACACCCUGACCAUAGUUUGCUUUGUAUGUUCUAGAUGUGAUCUGAGUGGGCAUUCUAUGUUGGAUGUCUAGUUUGUCUGUUUCUGUGUUUGGCC
rnacentral:lncRNA from 1 species